GCCCAAUCGGUAACAUCUACUUGUCUAUAACUUGAUUUCUCAAACCAAAGCGUCUACUUAGAGUGUAAGUGUGGUUGGUGUCGUGUAAAUUUACAAAUCUAUGCUUUGUGAAUAGGCUAUUGUUCGAAAAAUAGCUUGUUUAAAUAAUAAAUGUCAGUGAAAAAGCAAUAAGGAAUAUCUGAAUAUUUAAGUGGAAUGCUGCAAAGUGAAGCUGGAAACAAGUGACCAAGGACAACACCUCUCUAUCGGAAUGAAUACAUUUCACACAGCAAGCCACCGGAAGCGAGUGAGCUAUCGAAUCGGG